rnacentral:rRNA from 1 species
CNGGCGGCGNGCUUACACAUGCAAGUCGAACGAGAAAGUUCUGCUUCGGCGGACGAGUAAAGUGGCGCACGGGUGAGUAUCGCGUGGGUAACCUGCCCUUAAGACCGGGAUAACUUCGCGAAAGCGUUGCUAAUACCGGAUGUCGUCCAGGAGGCUCAGGCUUUCUGGAUGAAAGGUGACCUCUUCAUGAAAGUUGCCGCUUAGGGAUGGGCCCGCGUACCAUUAGCUUGUUGGUAGGGUAACGGCCUACCAAGGCUACGAUGGUUAGCUGGUCUGAGAGGAUGAUCAGCCACACUGGCACUGAAACACGGGCCAGACUCCUACGGGAGGCAGCAGUGAGGAAUUUUGCGCAAUGGGGGUAACCCUGACGCAGCAACGCCGCGUGAGUGAAGAAGGCCUUCGGGUCGUAAAGCUCUGUCAAGUGGGAAAAAAGUCAUGCCAUCAAUAGUGGUGUGAUGUGAUGGUACCACUGAAGGAAGCACCGGCUAACUCCGUGCCAGCAGCCGCGGUAAUACGGAGGGUGCUAGCGUUGUUCGGAAUUACUGGGCGUAAAGGGCGUGCAGGCGGAACUGUCAGUCGGGUGUGAAAGCCCAGGGCUCAACCCUGGAAGUGCAUUCGAUACUGCAAUUCUAGAGUAUGGGAGAGGAGAGUGGNAAUUCCGAGUGUAGAGGUGAAAUUCGUAGAUAUUCGGAGGAACACCCGUGGCGAANGCGACUCUCUGGACCAAUACUGACGCUGAGACGCGAAAGCGUGGGGAGCAAACAGGAUUAGAUACCCUGGUA